GCUGUUCAGAGCGAUGGAAUGUCGAGCGGAGCAAACUAACAGAGUUAGUGGGUGCGUGAGGAGGAAUGGAGCCAGCGGAGUAGGCAGGGAGGCUUCAUAAAGACACAGUACAGGUCGCAGACCCCAAAUAACAAGGGUAUUAGAAGGGGACGAUCAUCAAGUAUUAAGGUUUGUAGAUGGGAAACUCAAACCAAGCUUCACAUCAAGAUCAGACAGUCACUCAAUUCAUCAAGACCUGAAUAUCAUCGGCCUUUGAAUGUGGAAGGAAAAAUGUUUGACUGUUCUGUCUGUGGGAAAAGAUUUCAAACAUCAGUGUGACUGGAAAAGCACCGAGACACACACGGACACAUGAGUGAGCGUGUUCCAGUGAACUGACUGUGGAAAGAGCUUUAACCAGUUACACAGCCUGAAAAAACAUUGCGUCAUUCACAGUGGGGAGAAACUGUACACGUGUUCUGGGUGUGGAUGAGAAAAUGUGAGAACGGUGUGAAGCUAUUCAGUUAUCCACCCCAGCUGGAAAUUCAUUGACGCACUCACAUUGGGGCCAGCACCAUGGUGAAACCGUGGAAAUGUGAGGACUGUGGGAAAGGAUUCAAUUAUCCAUCUCUGCUGAGAAGCCAUCAACGUAUCCACACUGGAGAGAAGCCGUUCACCUGCUCCGUGUGUGGGAAGGGAUUUACUCAGUCAUCCACUCUGCUGACACAUCAGCGAGGUCACACUGGGGAGAGGCCCUUCAGCUGCACUUACUGUGGUAAGAGGUUCAGGUCUUCAUCCCACCUGAGUGGACACCAGCGAUUUCACACUGGGGAGAGGCCAUUCGCCUGCUCCGUGUGUGGGAAGGGAUUCACUGUGUCCUCCAACCUGCUAAAACACCAGCAAAUUCACACUGAGGAGAGGCCAUUCAGCUGCAAUUCCUGUGGAAAGAGGUUCAGGCAUUCCUCUGACCUCACUGCACACCAGCGGGUUCACACUGGGGAGAAACCAUUCACCUGCUCUGUGUGCGAGAAGGGUUUCACUCAGUUAGGCAGCCUUAAGUCACACCAGCGAAUUCACACUGGGGAGAAGCCAUUCACCUGCUCAGUGUGCGAGAAGGGUUUCACUCAGUUAGCCAGCCUUAAGUCACACCAGCGAAUUCACACUGGGGAGAAGCCAUUCAGCUGCACUUCCUGUGGAAAGAGGUUCAGGUCUCCAUCUAAUCUUAAAGUACACAAGCGAGUUCACACUGGGGAGAGGCCAUUCACCUGCACUGUGUGUGGGAAGGGAUUCACUCAGUCAGCCAACCUGCUGUCACACCAGCGAAUUCACAAGUGACUGCAGGGAUUGGAUUUUGCUGUUAUUGCUGCUGUUAGUCACAUCCAGGACUGAUAGUCAGAUAGUAUUAGCUUUGAUUCUGCUGAUAUUAACAACCCUAUAACUGGCUGGAGUUUAAUAUUCUGGAUCUGUCACUGAUUAUCAGAGCUGCAGUGUCCCUUUUUAAAAGCACCAUUUGUGAUCUUUCCUCUUAAUUCAAGAACUCUCUACAGGAACUCGAUUACAAUAAAAUUAAGACUUUUUACUUCAAUCCUAAAUUGACCUUUGGAGCAAAGUCGACAAUUCAGUGUCUGAGAGGUUCCACUGAUACUGUGCAAAUAAACACUAGAUCAACCUAUGUCAAGAAAUCCAAACUGCUUGUGACAAUGGAAAUCUGCCUGCUGUGUGUGAUGGGAACAGGAGGGCGCUUGGUCCGACCAUCACCAAAAUUAUCCCCUGAAAUCAACAGAUGGUAAAGUUCUCACCGACAGAAGUAAACAGAUGUCCCACUGGAUUGAACUUUACUGUGGGCUGUACUCCCGUGAGAAGGACAUCUCCCAGUCUCCCUUGACUCUCCUGCAGCUUUCUGUCAUGGUUGAGUUGGAUGAGGACCCUCAUCAUUUGAGCUGAAAUAGGCCAUGAAUUGCUGAGCAAGCAGAAAGAUACCUGGCAAGGAUGGAAUUCCAGCUGAACUGCUCAAGCCCAGAAAGUCCCAUCUACUGUCACAGCUUCAUGACCUCCUCAGUCUCUGUUGGGAGGUAGGAUCCAUUCCACACGACACGAAUGAUUGAAGAAUGAUCACAAUGUACAAAAAGAAAGGUGACAGGAGAUUGCAACAACUACAGGGACAUCUCACUCCUCAGCAUCACAGGGACGUCCUUCACUAGGGUCAGGCUUAAAAGACUCCAUCUACUUGCAGACCGAGUGUAUCCAGAAGCACAGUGCUGUUUCUGUGCUGGCAGAUCUACAGUGGACAUGAUCUCCUCCAUACACCAGCUACAAGAGAAGUGUACAAUUGGGAUUGAAUCUAAAAUGCUGCCAGGUUCUGUGCUGAGAAAAGUGAAAGGUUAUAAUGACUGAGUGAAAGUAAACCUUUAAGUAUGAAUUACAAUGAACUUGUACAAUUGUAAAAGGCAUCGAAAAGUUUGAUUCCCUAAAGAUAAGCUUCAGCCUUGAGGUUGUGUUCCGGAGCUCACAAGCUGUGGGAAGCUCCACCCUCUUUAACUCUUUUCAGUCUCAGAAGGUUGAAGCUCCUUUUGCCUGUGAAAGCGAACUUUCAGUUUUACUUUUCUUCAGUUUUAUUACCGUCAUUUGGAAAGGUGCCUGAAGAAAGAAGAAAAAAUAACAUUUGUGAAAAGCUGAGAAAAAUCAAAGAGACUUGGAAAAACAAAGAUUGAAAUGGGGUUGGUUCAUCCUUGAUCUGAAAAUGAAGCUACAUAAAGUUGACACAAGUGUGUACAUUUGAGAAUGUUUCUUCAGCCCCUUUGCUAACAAGCUGAGAAGUUAAACACUUUCCACUGACAGCCUGGUGACAAUUUAAACAAAAGGCUUUGCUUUUUAAAGAUUUGGCUUCAUCCCAUUUGUUAUUGUUCAAGACAAAGUGCCUGGGAACGGGAGAAAUGGGAGUGAUCUACAAUCUGAUUACAAGUAUCUGUACUUCUGUCUCUGAUCUACAAACACCAUAUUAUGUGAGUAUUGAAUGGGACAGUAAAGUUCCUCCGGUGCUCCUGAAUGAGAUAGAAUGAUUUCCAGCAUCUGCAGCGUUUUUCCUUCAUACUUGUGAACUGGUUGGUGUCUCUGCAGUGUGGAUGAACAACCAAAUCCCUUCCAUACUCGGAGCGUGAGAACAGCCUCUCCCCACUGUGAAUUCACUGGUGUACAGUGAGGUCAGAGGAUCGCCUGAACCCAGUCCCACAGUGAGAGCACCUCAACGGUCUUUCGUCAGUGUGAACACGUUGACGGGACACCAGUUCUCUGAAACAUUUCUAGCACUUGCUGCGAUCUGGGCAUUUCAAAGGCCUCAUCAGUGUGUCUGCAGAUGGGACAACUGAGUGAAUCUCUUUCCACGCUCUGACCAGGGUAUUGGAAGGGGAGGACUUGCAGACGGGGAACUCAAACCAAACAUCACAUCAAGAUCUGACAGUCACUCGAUUCAUCAGGACCUGCAUAUCAUCGGCAAUUGAAUGUGGAAGGAGAAAUGUUCGUCUGUUCUGUCUAUGGGAAAAGAUUUCAAACAUCAGUGUGACUGGAAAAGCACCGAGACACAACUCCCGAGUAAGAGUGUUCCAGUGAACUGACUGUGGAAAGAGCUUUACCCAGUUAGACAGCCUGAAAUAACAUCACACCAUUCACAGUGGGGAGAAACUGUACACGUGUUCUCUGUGUGGACGAGACUUCAACUGAUCUUCAAAUCUGGAGAGACACAGGGACACCUGCACCAUGGAGAAACCGUGGAAAUGUGAGGACUGUGGGAAAGGAUUCGAUUACCCAUCCCAACUGGAAAAGCAUCGCCUCAGUCAAACUGGGGAGAGGCCGUUCACCUGCUCCGAGUGUGGGAAGGGAUUCACUCAGUCAUUCCACCUGCUGAGACACCAGCGAGUUCACAUUGAAGGUUAGCCAUUCACCUGCCCGAAAUGUGGUAAGGGAUUCACUCGCUUACCCCAACUACUGAUUCACCAGUGAGUUCAUACUGGGGAGGGGCCAUUCACCUGCUCCGACUGUGGGAAGGGAUUCAUUCAGUCAGCCCACCUGCUAACACACCAGAGAGUUCACUCUGGGGAGAGGUCGUUCACCUGCUCUAUAUAUGAGAAAGGUUUCACUAGGUCCUUUGACCUCCUGAAGCACCAGCGAAUUCACACUGAGGAGAGACCGUUCAGCUGUACUUCCUGUGGAAAGAGAUUCAAGUCCUCAUUCCACCUCACUGUACACCAGUGAAUUCACACUGGAGAGAGACCAUUCAUCUGCUCCAAAUGUGGGAACGGGUUCACUCAACCAGUUGGUCUACUGAGACACCAGCGAGUUCACCUGCUCUGUAUGUGGGAAAGGAUUCACUGGGUCCUCUGACCUGCUGAAGCACCAGUGAAUUCACAGUACUUCCUCUGGAAAGAGAUUCAGGUCUUCAUUCAGCCUCAUUGUACACCAGCGACUUCACACUGGUGGGAGGCCAUUCAUCUGCUCCAAAUGUGGGAAGGGAUUCACGCAGUCAUCUCACCUCCUGACACACCAGCGAGUUCACACUGGGGAGAGACCAUUCACCUGCUCUGAGUGUGGGAAGGGAUUCACUCAGUCACCACACCUGCGUAGACACCAGCGAGUUCACAUUCUGCUGUUAUUGCUGCUGUUAAUCACAUCCAGGACUGAACUAUGUUCCUUCUGACAGUUGGGGUUUGUUUCUGCUGAUAUUAAUAAUCCCUGUUACUGGGCUGGAGUAUAAUAAUCUGGAUCUAUUUCUGAUUGUGUUCUCGGGGCUGCAGUGUCCCUUUAAGAACUGCAGUCUCUGAUCUUUCCUCAUAAUUCAGGAACUCAUCAGAAAUUAGUUUACAACAAGAUUCUGAACUUUUACUUCAGGAUUGUUUAGUAAGUUUUGUCCAAUGGUAGAAUCACAUUUAAUAUCAUUUAAGGGGAAGCUAGACAAGCACAAGAGGGAGAAGGGAAUAGAUGGUUAAGAUGGUCGAUUUAGAUCAGGACAAAUGGGAGGGAGUUCUUGUGGAACAUAAACACCAGCAUGGACUGGCUGGGCCGAAUGGCCUGUUUCUGUGUCAUGUAUCCUAUGUAAUUAUACUCAGUGUCUGGUCCUAACUUUUAAACUAUACUACCUAUUCCUAAACCACCUAACCAGAAAUAAUUUCUGUUUACCCUCUGUUCCCCUUAAUGUGCUCAAUUCUGCUUUUACUGUCACUGUUAAUCACAUCCAUGUUCAGUUGGGGUUUGUUUCUGCUGAUGUUAAUAAUCCCUGUAACUGGGCUGGAGUUUAAUAUCUUGAUGUUAAAUAAAUCAGUUUAGUUUCAAACAUGCAGUAUG